GACUUGGUGAGUGGUCUCAAUUAUUGGUUUGAAGCUAUUAAAGUGGGGUUCAAUUCCUCGACAAGUCU
rnacentral:tRNA from 1 species